GUGCGGAAUGCAGCACACAUACUGAAACUGGAGUGAUACACAGAAGAUUAACACGGCCCCUGUGCAAUGAUGACGUUUAAAUUUGUGAAGCAUUCCAUGUUUUU
rnacentral:snRNA from 1 species